ensembl:snoRNA
CCCUUCUUUUAAAAAAGUGCCAUGCUAAAAUCACCAGCUCAAUGCCUACUGGCCUUGCUCUGGUGUUCAUGCUAGUACUGGUUAAUCUUUAAGAAGGAAGAGCAAAAGCACACGAUUGGAAAUGAGUCUAGGACGGACCUCUUUCUUAAUGUCCGGUGUCCAAGGUCUCGAGAUUUUGUGCCAUACAU